rnacentral:rRNA from 1 species
UGCCAGCCGCCGCGGUAAUACGGAGGGUGCAAGCAUUGAUCGGAAUUACUGGGCGUAAAGGGCGCGUAGGCGGCAAGGUAAGUCAGAUGUGAAAUUUCGGGGCUCAACCCCGAAGCUGCAUUUGAAACUGCCUAGCUAGAGUAUAGUUAGGGUAAACGGAAUUCCACGUGUAGCGGUGAAAUGCGUAGAUAUGUGGAAGAACACCGGUGGUGAAGACGGUUUACUGGGCUAUUUCUGACGCUGAGGCGCGAAAGCAUGGGUAGCAAACAGGAUUAGAUA